rnacentral:rRNA from 1 species
UACGGGGGGGGCAAGCGUUGUUCGGAAUUACUGGGCGUAAAGGGCUCGUAGGUUGCCAACUAAGUCAGACGUGAAAUCCCUCGGCUUAACCGGGGAACUGCGUCUGAUACUGGAUGGCUUGAGUUCGGGAGAGGGAUGCGGAAUUCCAGGUGUAGCGGUGAAAUGCGCAGAUAUCAGGAGGAACACCAAUGGCGAAGGCAGCUCGCUGGGACGUGACUGACGCUGAGGAGCGAAAGCGUGGGGAGCAAACAGG